UCUUCCUACCUGAUAUCCAUAACGUGCAUUGAUGUGAUGCUAUCCACAUUCACUCACAUCCUCAAAGUGGAGGAUGUGGGACGGUAUCAUCACUAUUCGGUAGUAUUAUGUAGGACCCCCGUACACGUGUUCACUUAUAGUUACAAAGUGACUUCAAAGUAACUGACAAAAAUUGGAAAAAUAUUUAAAAUUUUGAGUUCCGACAAUUUCAUUCAACAUUUAAAAGACAAUACGGAGCACUUCCACCGUCUGCUGGACGAACUGUCUGAGGCACACGGCGACUCAAUGGUGAGACCAGGAUACCGAACUCGUUUACUAUCGAUUUUGAAUGGUCAGAUUCCUGAUAUAGACCAAUGUCGAUGGAAUGCGAGGCGGCAUAGGUGGAGCAUUUGUCGGGUCUACCGGUUUUGACGGUGUACUUGGGGAGUUUGAUCUAUUUGUUUCAGAUGUUGUUUUUGUGGCGAUCUCCCCAUCAAACCACUCCAACGUAACAUUUUAUCGAUACAAAGCACGAGAACGUCUCACUUUUGAAUUUUUUUUGCCCCUCAAUCCCCUCACGCCAUUUUGUGUAGGUAAGUUCCGCGCAGAUGCUGCAUUAAGUUUUUCUGAAUGGCAGCAGAGUGUCAUAGCAGGAGCGUUGGAUGGCGUAGAAAGAUAUACGAUUGUCUCUCCCGCUGAUCCAAUUGGAAGUAACUUCACUUGGAAAUAACUUCCUCUACAAGCUGGCGAGAUUUUGGCAUCGAUAACUUUAAAUUUUUAUCACAAUAAAAAGCCGUAAUGGUUUUUCUCAUUAA